rnacentral:lncRNA from 1 species
UUUUUGCUUUUCAGGGCUGCAUCCGCGGCAUAUGGAGGUUCCCAGGCUAGGGGUUGAAUCAGAGCUACAGCUGCCAACCUACACCACAGCCACAGCAACACAGGAUCCAAGCUACGUCUGCAACCUACACCACAGCUCACGGCAAUGCUGGAUCCUUAACCCACUGAUCGAGGCCAGGGAUUGACCCUGUAACCUCAUGGUUCCUAGUCAGAUUGAUUUCCACUGCGCCACGAUGGGAACUCCUAUGAUAAUGUCAUUUCAUUGUUGAUCCAGAGUGGGAACUAUUUUCUAAGCAGAAACUGUUAAUAAGUUCACAUCUGAGAUUAGCUGCAUAGAACCCCGGUUCUUACUCAUAGAAUUUUGGAAUAGCAUUCAGAAAUAAGGGAAAAAACAGCAAAAAGAUUUGGCCCCAAUGGGAUAAAAAGUAUUUCAUAUCAAAUAUAUUACUUUAAUAUGUAUCAGAUUUCUAAUUGGCACAGAUAAACAGCAAUAGUUUCACUGCUUAAUCUCAUUACUGAAAUAUCACUAUUUCCCAGUUUUGUUGGGAAACUGAAGCUCAGAGUCCUUAAGGGUGUACCCAGGAUCACACAAAGCUGAAGAUGGGGUUGAAAACCAGUGUUAGUAUAACCCACCUAGCGCCCCCGUCCCCAGGGUAGUUCUCUGCCAGCCGGCCACGUCCUAAUUGCCAGAACCUGCAGGUUUGUUUGUGGGCCUUUUCUGGCCACCAAAGCCCACGCUGUCUGCCCACAGGGGGCUGGACAUGCCAGGGGGUGGAUAACACUUAAGACCGACCACGUGCAUUUCAUCGCCCCAGCCUCUCUGCUCACGAACCCUAGGGCAUGGGGUCCACAGUGGCUCCCAGGUUUCUCUAGAAGCAUCUGACUCAGUUAACCGUAAAGGUACCUGUUUGAUAACCAUUCCUUUAUUGGCUCUCCUCCCAUCCCUGGUUCCUUACAUCCCCAGUAAACUUCACAUGCACAUCUUUGUUUCAGGGGCUGCUCCUGCGGGUCUAAAUGAGCACAGCCAAGCCCUUCAGACUCCAAGGCCCACGCACUUGCUUCCCACCGCGUGCUGCUGAGGUGGGUAAAGGCUGUAUUUGUGCCCACCACCCUAAGUGGGAAGAUGUGGAAAGGAAGUCCAAGCAGACCCAGGAAGCCGGUGAACCGAGAAUACAGUAGCUAAGCCAGGCUCGCUUGUUUCAGAGACAUGUGCACAUAAGACAUUAAAGAAAAGUAAUAGUUCAUCAUGAGAAUGUCAGGGAAAUAACCUGCCCUUUCCUGCAAAGCAUCCAACCGGCCCUCAGAUCAGUACUGAGAUCGAGAUCGUGCCUCAAGCAGGUGGGCAGCGUGAGCACACACAAGACCAGAGCAAGACGGAGCUGCAAGGGUCUGGGCGAGGGACAGCAGAGCUAGGGCUUCCAUGGGGGAGGAGAGCAGUGCUAGGGCUGCUGCGAAGCGUGUGAAACUCAUGUUUGUGUCAGACAAGGUGGAGCUUCUGCGAUUUCAUAUGGUCAGCCCUGGUUCCCAUCUUUCUAGGAGUCUCCAGACCUGGUCUUUUGUAAAGCACGUUGCCCUUCUAGAAAGUGAGAGAACUUGGGUUUAAAUCUUGCAGUGCUAUGCAACGAACACGUCCAUCACCUAGGUCUCAUCUGUAAAAAAUGGCAAUAAGAAGACCCAUGGCUGGGGGCGGAGGUGGGGUGGGGGGUGCGUUGGCAGAAUUAAAUGGGAUGAAAAAUGAAGGCUGAGCCCCAGUCUUCAGUGCAAAGUGGGAGCUCAAGCCCCUUGAUCCAUCCCUCAGGGGAGCUUCUUUCCCACUGGAAUCGGCAUCUGGAAGGAAACAGCAGCCCAGACGUGGAGGGCAUGGAGGUGGACUCUCUGUACAGCUAAAAGUAAGAACGAUUUUUGGUCAUUUGUGGCAUCUACAUGGGGAGCUAUCCACACUGACAUCAAACUAAAUUAGUUGACCUGAUUCGGAAGCGCCCUAAGAGAAUUUUUGUUACAACAUAAAGGGCAAUAUUCCUUGAAGUGGUUUAAUCAGAGGUUUAAAAACUGUAGUUGUAAGAUUUCUGGCAUUAAUAAAUAGCCAAGGGGGGGUUAUUUGGGGGGAUGAGGCAAGAGUUUCAUUUUUUAUGCUUUUGAAAUCCAAAGGUCAAAGCCGACCAAAUGUUUGCGAUAAAAAGUUCUCUGAAUUUACAGAUUGCUUUGGGCUGAGACUGCAUGCAAAUGUUAGAUCAGAGGUUCUAGAAGGUGAGAUAUAAUUUGUGGAAGACAAAAUUUAAGGUCACAGGACUUGGGAACGAGCCCUGCCUUUGCCAUCUCCUACUGUGUGAUGUUGGACAAUGCAAAGCCCUUUUCUAAUUCUCAAUUAUUUUUGGAGAGACCAACUACUUCCACUGCACAAUCCGAGGAAGGUUAAACAAGAGAAUGUCUGAAAAUAUUUUUAGUUUAGACACUAAACACCGUUUCUUAGUUGAUGGCCUGAUAAUCUGUACACUUAAGGCCCGAGGACUAUUUCCAUCUUACUCCAUUAUAUAAAGCAGCAGUUGAUGCAGUUUAGAGGAAGAGGAAUGCAACUUUGCUCUGCCAAAAUAAUCAGCCCCCAUCAGCUGUACGAGCUGCAGAAAACGUGAGAACAUCAAAGAGUCUCUUUGGGCAAAUGAUUCAACUGAUUGUCUGCAAGGUGAAUCAUGUUACCUGACCUUUGCAAAAACGUGGAGCAUUUGGAACUUUACUGUGGCAGAUGUCAUUCAGUUCUGGAACCCGGGUCACAGACAUCACAGCUUUUCUUCCACAGGUAAGACAGCAAAGAAACAUGGACAUGGACUCACUGACUCAUCCAUGGCUCAACUAACAGUUCUCCAGCAUUCAACGUUUUGGACUUUACAUGCCCCAAAUUGACCUCAUGACCUUCCAAAUCUGAACUCUUCUGGAGGCCACCACCCUACCUCUCUCUGUAGAGACAGUGCUGGGCAGACAGUGGCCCAGACUGGAGACCCACACUGUACCCUUCCUUUGUCUUGCUGCUUAUGUGAAGCCGACUACCACACCUCCUCCACUCCAAAAUGCACAGCAAAUCCAUGUGCUGCUCUCCAUCCCUACCAACGCCAGCUCGGCUGAGUUACCGGUAUUUCCUCCAACCGGACCAUGAAAUGGCUUUCUCCAUUUCGCUAACGUCGUGCCGUACACAAAGACUCAGUUGCAGGAAGCUCGCUUGGGAGUCGAUGGCAGGAAGCCAAAGUGAGAGAGCAGGUGGAGAAAAGUGGGGAAAGAGAGAAAGACCGAAGGGGCACCUGGAGCUGAGUACAGUCAGAGCCUCCUGCAGGUGACUCCACCCGGCCGCUCUGAGGAACCAGAGAGAAGGCAAGAGGACAUCUCAGAACUGCCCGCACAAGGUAGGGGUCGCUGCCGCAUUUACCUGAUGAUUCCUGGCCCCACCAAUGGAACAUCACCCCUGGAGGCAUAACACCCCUGACCUCCACGCUUCUGGGCUGCACCUGGGAGAGCCCCCCGAGGCUUUGUAUUAGGCUUCAAGUCAGCCUGUGAGAGAGGCUUUUGGCCUUGAAGUGGGAUGUCAUCUGUUUCCUAGACACGGGCUCAGGAUUUGCCUCAGGACACGAGGAGACCUGGCGUGAGAUGCAACUGUCCCUGCCAGAAGCUGCAAAGAGGUAAAGCCAUCUUCUAGGACAGAGAAUUUCAGCAGAGACUGGCAAUCCAUGGAAAGGGGAUAUCUUUGGGUGAUGAUGCUUAAGAAAACUAUGUCCUUGCUCAGAUUAACCCUGGGAAAACAAAAGUAGAAUUUUAGGAAGCUGGACUCCGUCAAAAGUAUUCGAAAUCUAUUUGUGUACUCUCUAAUCCAGUAGCCAUUAACCAAUGUGUCUCUUUAAAUGUAAUCAAUUAUAAUUAAAUGCAAUUGACAUGGAAACCUCUAGUUACAUUUUUGGUUUUUCCUGUGCUCAGUGGCCGCAUGAGGCUACUGCUGCUGUCCUAGACAGCACAGAGACAGGACUUCUUCAUCACUGCAGAGUGUUCUACUGGGCAGGGCUGGCAACCUCGGCAGUUGAUGCAACAACGGUCACGGAGCCUUGCCUCCUUCUGUUGAGGCCCCUUUACAAUGCAAUUUUGCAAGAACUUAUUUUUUCACUCCUUAAAUCUGAGCUUACCACAUGACUUGUUUCAACCAAUGGGAUGGGACACCAGAGGCGGGCUGACAAGCAUGUGUGCACCGUGGCUUGAUCUCUGGCUGCCUGUGGGUUCCAUCACUUCCUGAUGUGUGUGCCACCCACCCACGUUCUAAGCGUACCAGCUUUUCCCGCAUCUCUGCCAGGCUUCCCGAGCCUGUGCUAAGACCCUCCCCUCUGCUGGAAGAGCUCUUUGCCUGAGCUCCCACCAGCCCGUAUCCAGCAUGUAUGAAGAGACUGCUCCAGUCCCUCCCUCUGUAACACCUGUCUGGAUGCCUUACUGGGCUGACCCCUCUGUAGGAGAUGCCUUAUCUUCUCCAUGUCUGUGCCUUGCAUCUGCUACCCUGCUGGGCACUUAGCCCAAGGCAUAUGUAAGUUCCUAGGGCAGGGAUCAAACCCAUGGCACAGCAGGGGUCGAGAUGCUGAAGUGACAAUGCCGGAUCCUCAACCCACGGUGCCGCAAGGGAAUGCUGCUGCUUGCCUAUGUUUUGAUCUUGGGCUGGACACUUACUUCUCAGUGACUGAGUUGGCUCAUCUCAGAUGGGUAUCAUGAUGGGUGAGUUCAGAGCGCAGUUAUUUGAUGAUACUUCUAGAAGGUGGCUCACCCCGUGGUUGGCACUUAGCGAGACUCAAUAGGUUGCAACAACUAAAGAUCUAGAAUCCAGGAUCCAUUAUCUGUUAGAACUGCCUGGGGUCUGUCUCCUUGUCGGAAGCCUCCCACGGCCCAGAUAAGUACAUCUUCCUGUCUUUAGGAUGGCAGACUAUCCCACUGGCUUUGGAAAAACCAAAUGACCAAAAUCAACACAGAUGGAUGAGCUUUUAAUUGCUGCCUCCCAGAAUUUCCCCUUGAUAUUCCUGCUGAGCCAGACAGCACCCACAGGACUGAUGGGUUAGCACUGAUGGAAGGGAUGCUUAAAUGAAGCCAGAAGAAGACGUCUUAGAGACUAUAAACAGUGCACAUCCAUCCAUUUCAGCCAAUGACCUGACAGGAAAGCCUUCCAUGAAAAUGAAAAUGCCUAUUUCCUCAAGCAGAGUGUUUGUGACAUUUUGGCCAAUGUCAUUGAAAAAUUAAGCAACAGACAGGUGAGA